AGAACGAACGCUGGCGGCAUGCCUAAUACAUGCAAGUCGAACGAACUCUUCGGAGUUAGUGGCGCACGGGUGCGUAACGCGUGGGAAUCUGCCCUUGGGUUCGGAAUAACAGUUGGAAACGACUGCUAAUACCGGAAUGAUGACGAAAGUCCAAAAGAUUUAUCGCCCAGGGAUGAGCCCGCGUAGGAUUAGGACUAGUUGGUGAGGUAAAGGCUCACCAAGGCGACGAUCCUUAGCUGGUCUGAGAGGAUCGAUCAGCCUACACUGGGACUGAGACACGCCCAGACUCCGUACGGGAGCAGCAGUAGGGAAUAUGGAC
rnacentral:rRNA from 1 species